GACGAACGCUGGCGGCGUGCUUAACACAUGCAAGUCGAACGGAAAGGCCCUGCUUUUGUGGGGUGCUCGAGUGGCGAACGGGUGCGUAACACGUGAGUAACCUGCCCUUGACUUUGGGAUAACUUCAGGAAACUGGGGCUAAUACCGGAUAGGAGCUCCUGCUGCAUGGUGGGGGUUGGAACGUUUCGGCGGUUGGGGAUGGACUCGCGGCUUAUCAGCUUGUUGGUGGGGUAGUGGCUUACCAAGGCUUUGACGGGUAGCCGGCCUGAGAGGGUGACCGGCCACAUUGGGACUGAGAUACGGCCCAGACGCCUACGGGAGGCAGCAGUGGGGAAUAUUGCACAAUGGGCGGAAGCCUGAUGCAGCAACGCCGCGUGCGGGAUGACGGCCUUCGGGUUGUAAACCGCUUUCGCCUGUGACGAAGCGUGAGUGACGGUAAUGGGUAAAGAAGCACCGGCUAACUACGUG
rnacentral:rRNA from 1 species